rnacentral:rRNA from 1 species
UACAGAGGAGCCAAGCGUUGUCCGGAUUGACUGGGCGUAAAGCGCACGCAGGCGGUUGCGCGCGUGGGGUGUGAAAUCUGGCCGCUUAACGGCCAGGCGCCAUCCCAUACGGCGCGACUGGAGUGAUGCAGAGGUCGAUGGAACUGCCGGUGUAGUGGUGAAAUGCGUAGAGAUCGGCAGGAACACCCAGGGGGAAACCAGUCGACUGGGCAUCUACUGACGCUGAGGUGCGAGAGCGUGGGGAGCGAACCGG